CCCUAGCCCCGAUAGAAGUGGAAAUCCUUUUGUGGCGGGGUUCGCCACAAAAGAUUGAAACGAUAGCGGGAUUAGCU
rnacentral:sRNA from 1 species